CAAGUAACCCUUCCUCCUGUUCUAUACAGCCAAAAACCCUAUAGAUCGAAUAUUAGCAUCAUUAUCAUCAUAUUCCCUAGAUUAAGAGCUCUGAGACUGAAAUACUCUAUCCUUCAAUGGCGUUAACGAACUUUAUACUAACGGUGGUCGGAGUGAGCGCGGCGAUAUUAUUGCUGAGGAGCGAUGUCAAACAGUCUGCUUCCAUCUUCAAGCGUAACGUUCGUCAAAUUCGCCAUUGGCUCGAGGAAGAGUCUUCCUCCGCCGCCAAGGAAUUGGAGAAGGCAAAACCAAAGGAGAUACCUCACAAAGACAUUCCUAAGGAGGAUAAGCAUUAGACGAAUCUCAGGAAUCUUUAUAAUGAAAUAGAGAGGGCAGAACCAAAGGAGAUACCUAGAAGACAUUCACUAGCAGAACAAGAAUGAGACAUGCCUCAGGAAUCUUGAUAGUUUCAUAAUUUGCAUUUUCUCACCUGUGCUUUACCUUCUAUUCUGUAUAAAAUUCUUCAUAGUUUGAUUUCUGAUAGUGGAUUAUUAUUCUAUUUUCUUAGCUACUCAACUGCUUGGUACAUGUGUCCCUAUGAAUAUCAAUAUGUUCACUUAAUUUUAGCUGUUUGUUGGAAGUCAUCGUUUAACAUAACUUGCUGCACUUGCUAGACUGCUUAGGAUUUUGAUGUAAUCAAGUCCAGACUUAUCUUUGUACUGUCACAGUAUCAGCUUGAUACUGUUUCCAAUAAAACCUCACCUUAUAAAAAAAAAAUAGAUCCUUGGCAUAAGCUCAUGAAAUUUGAAUAAAUAGGCUGGAUAUGGUCGUUAAUGCACUUAUGGUGAGAAAUGAUCAUUUAUUUCACGUUCUGUAUUGAUUCAUAAAGGAAAUUCUUCAUUUUACUAUUGCCCAGAGAUAUAACUGAUGCAAAACCAUGUCAGGGAGAUGAAUAUUUGAAGGAUAGUGAACUCUGCUUUACUCUUUUAUUCAGGAAUCAUGAGCUUUUAUGAAUUGUAGUUGUGGACGACAAAUGUGGAGUAAAUUGACAUGUUAAGAUCUGAAAUUUAUCCUUCACAAAAGAAAAGCAAAUGCAAUUGCAAAAAUUGUUGAGUUUGUAGGUGGUCAUAUCUAAUUUGUCAUUAGAGCUCAGCACAACUCCUUAAUGAUUAAAACUUUUGAACCAGUUACAUUAAAUGCAUAAGCACAAUGAACUCAACUCUUGCACGGUGAUUUACUUAAAAUAGCACUUAUGGUAGCAAUUUCAAGUCUACCGCAUACCCAUUGAAACUAGUUAGUGGCCUUGUCAUGUUUGACAUCCUUUAUUUGAUCGGCUUGUUGGAAUAGAUAGAUGACCUGUUUAUUCACUAUGACAAGCUUAGUAUGCUUGUUAGUUACUCUAGAAUGACUCUGUCCGGGAAACCUAUUUUUCAACCUCUGAUAGCUGCAGAUAUCAAGUUCUCUCUGGCUAUCGUAUUGGUGGCACUGGGGGACUCAUUACCUUGUUCUAAAAGCUGUCUUACUCUGGAUGCCAAGCUAGGUCAACCAAGUGCAUGUUAUUAUAUUCGGACUGAAUUCGAAUUACAUGUGCUGCGCUGAGUUGCCAAAGUAGAGAGUAAAGCUAGUAAGGUGUUAACAGGAGAAUACUAUCAUCCCUGUUGAGCAAGGCACACUUGAAUACUAUCAUCCCUGUUGGUUCAUCAUUGUGAGGUUGGGAAAUGCAUUGAUGUCUUUAUGACUAACUGACUAUCAGGCAGAACUAAAAGGAAUGAGAUUUGCAUUCAUUCGUUCAUGAUAAUGACGAGAUCUGAAGAUGUAUUUUGUUCUACAGUAACACAAACAUGAUUCUCUUUUCGAUUGGACAAGGCCAGGAAAGGUAACAUGUGGUAUGAAUGUUGCAUGUUGUUGUGGACCAUCAAAAUGCAGAGCAAUUUUCACCUACCCAGAAACCAAGAGUGAAACUAUUUGAAGAGCAAACAGAACAGCAAAGAAAGCUAAACUUUAAGGAAAGUAGUAGUCAUAUUCUACAUGUAGAAAUUGUUUUUUAUGUCACUCGUAAUGCAACAGGGAUACUGAUUUGUACAAGACUGCCUAUCCCAGAGAAAACUGCUGUGCUGGUAUAGAAUAGCAACCAAUUAUAAGCAUAAAGAUACACACAAACGGACGAAGCUUCAGAUGAAACCGGGUGGCUCGUUGGAGAGUUUUUGGAGAAACCUGUGUUAGAAGAAAGAUAUUUACUUGGUAGUUGGAGGAAGAAAUUCAAGACUAGAUAAAGGAAAAUUUUAGGAGGAAGAAUAAAGCAAUGUUUCAUCAUUAUUUCCUCCUGGAUAGUAAGCCAGCAUCUGUAGCAAGAGAAAGUACAUCGAGAAAAUUACAAGAUAAUGGUUGGCUAUUUUCUUGUCAAUAUUGCAUUGAUUAGACAAGUUGAGAUCAAGUGGUUUUGACACCCACAGGUCGAAGGUGCUAGAGUGUGAUAUGGGCACACGUGUGUGCUAGUUUGCACUAUAUCGUUGCAUAUAGAUUCCUAAUACAUAUGUCUGUCAUGUUGGCCUGGCAUCUGAUAAUUUCCAGAACAGAAUGCAUGAGUAAUUGAGUAUUGUCUAACUUUACUUGCAUUCUUAUUAAUGGGCUUGACUACAUGGAAUCAUAAGACACAUCCUACUAACCACCCUAAGAGAAGCGGCGAAGAAAUGCCUGAGGUUCGUUGCAGUAUUGGGUAGCCCGGUGCACAAGGUAUCCCGCGUUCACGCAAGGUUCGGAGAAAGGUCGCAUCUUAAAGUGUGUGAUAUAGACAACAUACCCUAAUGCAAGCAUUAGUAGCUGUUUCCACGGGUCGAACCAGUGACCUAUAGGUCAUAUGGAGACAACUUUAGCGUUAUUCCAAGUAUCCCUUCAGGUUCGUUACAGUAUUGAGUGGUGAAAUAUAUCUGUGUUGCCUUCUGAAUUGGCUUCCGAAAGUGUACGUUUAAUAUUUGAUUAUUGCAAUUGCGAGUGAUCACAGUUUUUAUCAUAUGCCGAGGGCUCAUUGAGAAGGCUGCAUGUCACUCUGUUGAUUAUAGAUUAAAGUGAAAAUUUUGGUUUA